AUGAAGUGCAAGACAUGUCCUCACAAAGUAAAUGCAAAAACUGCAUUACAUGGUGUGGUCUAUCAUUCAUAUCUGCGUCUCAACUCUCACAAGAAUGUUGAAGGCCGUCAGGAGGUCGUCGACCAGAAAGACCUAGGACCACUGAUUGACAGGGCAUGUGCCAAGUGCCGUCACGAUG